rnacentral:misc_RNA from 1 species
GAUGAAGAACGCAGCGAAAUGCGAUAAGUAAUGCGAAUUGCAGAAUUCAGUGAGUCAUCGAAUCUUUGAACGCACAUUGCGCCCUGUGGUAUUCCGCAGGGCAUGCCUGUUCGAGCGUCAUUUCAACCCUCAAGCUCUGCUUGGUGUUGGGCCCUGCCCGCUCGCGGCCGGCCCUAAAGACAGUGGCGGUGCCGUCUGGCUCUAAGCGUAGUAAUUCUUCUCGCUAUGGAGUCCUGGUGGACGCUUGCCAUCAACCCCCAAUUUUUCUAUGGUUGACCUCGGAUCAGGUAGGGAUACCCGCUGAACUUAAGCAUAUCAAUAAGCGGAGGA